rnacentral:rRNA from 1 species
GCCCUUGGAAGGGAUGUAUUUAUUAGAUUAAAAACCAAUGCCCUUCGGGGCUCACUGGUGAUUCAUGAUAACUCCUCGAAUCGCAUGGCCUUGUGCCGGCGAUGGUUCAUUCAAAUUUCUUCCCUAUCAACUUUCGAUGUUUGGGUAUUGGCCAAACAUGGUUGCAACGGGUAACGGAGGGUUAGGGCUCGACCCCGGAGAAGGAGCCUGAGAAACGGCUACUACAUCCAAGGAAGGCAGCAGGCGCGCAAAUUACCCAAUCCCGACACGGGGAGGUAGUGACAAUAAAUACUGAUACAGGGCUCUUUUGGGCCUUGUAAUUGGAAUGAGUACAAUUUAAAUCCCUUAACGAGGAACAAUUGGAGGGCAAGUCUGGUGCCAGCAGCCGCGGUAAUUCCAGCUCCAAUAGCGUAUAUUAAAGUUGUUGUGGUUAAAAAGCUCGUAGUUGAACCUUGGGCCUGGCUGGCCGGUCCGCCUCACCGCGUGUACUGGUCCGGCCGGGCCUUUCCCUCUGUGGAACCCCAUGCCCUCCACUGGGUGUGGCGGGGAACCAGGACUUUUACAAGGGC